rnacentral:tRNA from 16 species
GGAGAGGUGUCCGAGUGGCUGAAGGAGCACGCCUGGAAAGUGUGUAUACGUUAAUAGCGUAUCGAGGGUUCGAAUCCCUCUCUCUCCGCCA